AGACCCUGACCUGAAGCGCACCUGCCGAGUACACCUUACGGCCGAGCAGGUCCAUCCGCCUAGCCUCUUUGGAUUUUGGGGCAGGCGUCUGUUGGCCAUGGCGCUCCCUCUGUUGACGGAUUGUACAACUAAAGAG